AUGUGUGUCCCCCCCGUUGCAGGAGGCUGCAGCCCCCCAGGGAUUAUUUUCAGCCCCCCCCCAAUCCAUCCACCCCAGUCUCCCUGCCCCGUGCAGGCACCUGCCCGCUCCCCAUGCCCCGUGAGGGGCUGUUGGGCAUGGAGCUGGCAAGGGCAACGUCCCCGUGCCCCCAUAGAAACCCAAAUCAGUCUGCACGCCCCCCCCCCAGCCCUCCUGGCCCCCCGAUGUGGCCCUCGCCCCCCCCCCCCCCCCCGCAGUGUGAUUUACAGGCUCUGCGCAGGCGGACAAAUGGUGAAGGAAAACAGGGCUGGGGCCCCACGGCGAGGGGCUGCCCGCACCCCGCGGGGGGCAGAGGGGCCGUUUGCUGCCAUGGGGAGGGGGGGGACACACAGCGCAGCCCCCCCAGCACACGUGGGGACAGCCCGGAGGGGACCCUGCUGCCCCACAAGCUCUGCUCCUCAUCCUCAGGGCUUUGGCCGUAGGGCGCAGCGGGACGUGGUGCCACCUCGCCCCCUGGCUCUGGGUGCCAGGACCCCCCCCCCCCAAAUCCCUUUCUCCCUGGGUAUUUGCAGCCUGUUCUCUGUGCCCCCAGCCCCCAGCAGCUCCCGGAGUUCCCCCUUUUUGCCUCAUUCCUCCACGGGGCCGGAGGCCAGACGGGGAGCACGGCUCACAGGGGACAGCCCUGCGGCCACCACCGGCCCCGAUCCCAGCCCAGCAGCUCCUGCAGCCACGUCCCCAACAGCCCAGGGCCAUUUGCCCAGGGCCGGGCCCUUCUCCCCUUUUGCCUCCCCCCUCCUGCUGUCCCCCCGGAGCUCAGGAUUUGGUUUUCCCAGAGCCAACAGGAGAAAAAGCUCCACUGCCCGUGCGCCUGGCAGGGUGCGGGGUCCAAGGGGACCUCGUCCCUGUCCCGCUCGGCACGCGUGGUGCCAGCCCUGGGGACACAGAGGGCGAGGGGCUGCGGGGCUCAGCCUCACCUCGUGUCCCCAGGGCACAAACCUGUCCCCGUGGGCCGUGCCCCCCCCGGUUGAUGUCCCCCUGGUGAAGGAACCCGCUGCCAAUCCUCCCGGUUGA
rnacentral:lncRNA from 1 species